UAUUUAUUGGAAAGAAGACUGCUUCUGCUACAUAAAUAUGGGCUUUUUUUGACAAUACAAUGCAUAUAUAUCGGGUACUAGCAUCAUUAAGUCAUGCUAAAUUACUGAAAUCUUCUCAAUUUUAGGAUUUUAGUUAAAUUUUAGACGGUUUCCGUCUUAAAUGAAAGUGGCCGCAUUUGUGUUCAUUCUUAAUAUUGAAAUGUAAGUU
rnacentral:lncRNA from 1 species